UCCUUCUUAAUUGCCUAUUCCA
rnacentral:siRNA from 1 species